rnacentral:rRNA from 1 species
UCCAGACAACCUCGGGAAACUGAGGCUAAUCCGGAAUAGGGCUCUCAUCCUGGAGUGGAGAGAGCCUGAAACGCUCCGGCGCUAUAGGAUGUGGCUGCGGCCGAUUAGGUAGACGGUGGGGUAACGGCCCACCGUGCCAGUAAUCGGUACGGGUUGUGAGAGCAAGAGCCCGGAGACGGUAUCUGAGACAAGAUACCGGGCCCUACGGGGCGCAGCAGGCGCGAAACCUUUACACUGCACGCCAGUGCGAUAAGGGGACUCCAAGUGCGAGGGCAUAUAGUCCUCGCUUUUUGCGACCGUAAGGUGGUCGCGGAAUAAGUGCUGGGCAAGACCGGUGCCAGCCGCCGCGGUAAUACCGGCAGCACGAGUGAUGACCGCUGUUAUUGGGCCUAAAGCGUCCGUAGCUGGCCGCACAAGUCUAUCGGGAAAUCUCUCCGCUUAACGGAGAGGCGUCCG